GGGCCUUGAAACAGUGAGCUGUCUUUGUUCGAAAUACAGGUGAACGGCAAUCAUGUGAUUAACACACACACACAUAAAAAGCUUUUUAACAGCGCCCGCCCGGCCUCAGAACCUCCCGGAGAGAAGCCGCCUUGGAUGGACAGAGGGACUGAGCUACAAGCAUCCAGCCAGUCGUGUCCUGGCUCCCCGGCAGCGGUUCCCAACGUCCGCUGCUAUCCGCGCCGGCUGCCCGCCUGCCUGCCUGGCAUCUCUCUCCCGCACAAAUCCAAACAACAAAACCAGGAACUGCAGCUACAGCAUCCGUGAAAUUUGAAAAUAUUACACUGGGGCUUGAGAGAUGGUGAAGUGGUCAAGAACACUGUCUGCUCUUCCAGAGGACCCAGGUUCUAUUCCCAGUACCCACAUGGUAGCACACAUCUGUCUGUAACUCCAGUUCCAGGGAAUCUGGCAUCCUUACCCCAAUGCACAUAAAAUAAAGUUAAAUAAAGUAUUUUUAAAAGAGAAAAUAUGCUAAUGAAAAAAGCCAGCUACAAAAGGACACACAUGAAACUAUUCCAAUUCUUUGAAAUUCCACAACAGGUAAACUAUGAGGCCACAAGCAGAGGAGGACUGGGGAGAGCUGUGAAAAGAGGGCCAGGAAGUGAAUGUGGGCAGCAAAUGAAUUUGGGGGAGAUAUGGUAAAAUGUUUUGGAAUUAAACACUGGUGAAGCUUGUGUAACCCUGCAAAGGCCCUAACAGCCCUGAAUGGAUGCAGUAGACAUUCAAAGUGGAGAAUGCUCUUCCUGCCUCAGCCUCCUGAGGAUGGGAUUACAGGUGUGUGUCAGCCUGGCUGGCUCUAAAAAAUUUGAUUUAAGGGCUGGAGAGAUGGCUCAGGGGUUAAGAGCACUGCCCAUUCUUCCAGAGGUCCUGAGUUCAAUUCCCAGCAACCACAUGGUGGCUAACAACCACCUUGAAUGAGAUCUGGUGCCUCCUGCUGGCAUGCAGGCAGAAGAC
rnacentral:lncRNA from 1 species